UCAUCGUUUAAGAGAAUCCAGAUUUAUCAUAUGUUAAGGCAGCUACAAAUUUUGAGGAGAGCUAGAAAUUACAUUGGUGCCAGUUGUACAUUAGGGUGAACGUGUUACGUAGUUUGUAUAAUUCUAUUAAAUAGGAUACUAAAUAGUCAUCGUUUAAGAGAAUCCAGAUUUAUCAUAUGUUAAGGCAGCUACAAAUUUUGAGGAGAGCUAGAAAUUACAUUGGUGCCAGUUGUACAUUAGGGUGAACGUGUUACGUAGUUUGUAUAAUUCUAUUAAAUAGGAUACUAAAUAGUCAUCGUUUAAGAGAAUCCAGAUUUAUCAUAUGUUAAGGCAGCUACAAAUUUUGAGGAGAGCUAGAAAUUACAUUGGUGCCAGUUGUACAUUAGGGUGAACGUGUUACGUAGUUUGUAUAAUUCUAUUAAAUAGGAUACUAAAUAGUCAUCGUUUAAGAGAAUCCAGAUUUAUCAUAUGUUAAGGCAGCUACAAAUUUUGAGGAGAGCUAGAAAUUACAUUGGUGCCAGUUGUACAUUAGGGUGGACGU